GAAACGACGAGCAGAGGUGCUGAGUGUCUUUAAGCUGCUGACUUCACCUGCAUCCAACACAAAAGCAUCAAUCUGUCUCCUAGGAAGGAAAGUGGGAUCGAGGUAGAACAAAAGAGCCCUCUGGACAUCCAGGAAGUGCAGGGCCUUUUCCAGAGGCAUGAUCAGGGAGUUAAAUAAGGUUCUAUAAAUUGUUCAAUUUGCAUUGCUCAUAAGGCACUUGCUUCUGGUUGUAGUACAGAAUGAGAAGCACAUUCUGAAUAAUUAUGUAUGAGGUUAUUCUAUGGAAACUUUGUCUCAAGCGAUGCUCAGGUUAGGUUAGAAGAGACCUAGAGACGGGGAGGGCACAGAGGACAGCAAGGAUAAGAAGAAGUGCAUAGUAGAUAAAAGAGGCAUCUGAAUAGGACAUACGGAGUUGUUCAUUUUAUUGGAAGAGAGUGUUGCUGAAGCAAUCUGAGUUUGCAGAGAUGUGACAUUUUAAUACAUUGUUGGAGAAACAGUGGAUUAGAAACUGGAUGAGGCUUAGGUUGGAACAACAUUUGUUUCCUCCAAAUUUUUCUUUUGAAAA